CUGGGUUCCAAGGCGUCAAGCCUACCACCCGCCCUCUGUCAUAUGCAACGGUAUUGCUUCGGCCGCUGGCCCUCCUCGCUGCGGCGCUCCUCGGGGCGUCCGGCGGGGCGGGGUCACGGUCGGUCUUCCAAUCCUCCAAGGAAUUUAUGUCGUCUGAUGCAAAUGCAAAAACGAAAAGCA
rnacentral:misc_RNA from 2 species